CCUAAGACAUGCAAGUCGAACGAGAAGGCCCACUGAUUUGUAUCGAAAUUGGAGUGCUUGCACAAAGAUGGAAAUACAAUUGACGUGGAUCACCUUCUAGUGGCAAACGGGUGAGUAACACGUGGGUUACCUGCCUCUAAGUUGGGGAUAUCAUCUGGAAACGGAUAGUAAUACCGAAUGUGAUCUAUGGAUUAAAGGAGCCUUAAAGCUUCGCUUAGAGAUGGGCCUGCGUCGUAUUAGCUUGUUGGUGAGAUAAUAGCCCACCAAGGCAACGAUGCGUAGCCGAACUGAGAGGUUGAUCGGCCACACUGGGACUGAGACACGGCCCAGACUCCUACGGGAGACAGCAGUUAGGAAUAUUCGUCAAUGGGGGAAACCCUGAACGAGCAAUGCCGCGUGAAUGAUGAAGGCCCUCUGGGUUGUAAAAUUCUGUUGUUUGGAAAAAAUUGUAUCGGAAGGAAAUGACCGAUACUUGAUGGUACCAUUCAAGAAAGCCACGGCUAACUACGUGCCAGCAGCGGC
rnacentral:rRNA from 1 species